AACGAACGCUGGCGGCAUGGAUUAGGCAUGCAAGUCGAACGGUUAACAGGGGCAACUCUGUUAAUAGUGGCGAAAGGGUGAGGAACGCGUGAGUAACCUGCCUUCAAGUCGGGAAUAGCCCCGGGAAACUGGGAUUAACACCGGAUGUGGUUAUAGGAUCGCAUGAUCUUAUUACUAAAAAUUUAUUGCUUGAAGAGGGGCUCGCGUCCCAUUAGCUAGUUGGUGAGGUAACGGCCCACCAAGGCUGUGAUGGGUAGCUGGUCUGAGAGGACGACCAGCCACACUGGGACUGAGACACUGCCCAGACUCCUACGGGAGGCUGCAGUCGAGAAUCUUCCGCAAUGCGCGAAAGCGUGACGGAGCAAUGCCGCGUGCAGGAUGAAGGCCUUCGGGUCGUAAACUGCUGUCAUCAGGGAAGAAAAAAAUGACGGUACCUGAAGAGGAAGUCACGGCUAACUACGUG
rnacentral:rRNA from 1 species